rnacentral:rRNA from 1 species
GACGAACGCUGGCGGCGUGCCUAAUACAUGCAAGUCGAGCGCAGGAAAUCGACGGAACCCUUCGGGGGGAAGUCGACGGAAUGAGCGGCGGACGGGUGAGUAACACGUAAAGAACCUGCCCUCAGGUCUGGGAUAACCACGAGAAAUCGGGGCUAAUACCGGAUGGGUCAUCGGACCGCAUGGUCCGAGGAUGAAAGGCGCUUCGGCGUCGCCUGGGGAUGGCUUUGCGGUGCAUUAGCUAGUUGGUGGGGUAAUGGCCCACCAAGGCGACGAUGCAUAGCCGACCUGGGAGGGUGAUCGGCCACACUGGGACUGAGACACGGCCCAGACUCCUACGGGAGGCAGCAGUAGGGAAUCUUCCACAAUGGACGAAAGUCUGAUGGAGCAACGCCGCGUGAACGAUGAAGGCCUUCGGGUCGUAAAGUUCUGUUGUAAGGGAAGAACAAGUGCCGCAGGCAAUGGCGGCACCUUGACGGUACCUUGCGAGAAAGCCACGGCUAUCUACGUGCCAGCAGCCGCCGUAA